rnacentral:rRNA from 1 species
UACGGGGGGGGCAAGCGUUGUUCGGAAUUACUGGGCGUAAAGGGCUCGUAGGCGGCCAACUAAGUCAUACGUGAAAUCCCUCAGCUUAACUGGGGAACUGCGUGUGAGACUGGCAGGCUCGAGGGCAGGAGAGGAACGCGGAAUUCCAGGUGUAGCGGUGAAAUGCGUAGAUAUCUGGAGGAACACCGGUGGCGAAGGCGGCGUUCUGGACUGUCUCUGACACUGAAGAACGAAAGCCAGGGGAGCAAACGGG